rnacentral:rRNA from 1 species
UAAUACGUAGGUGGCAAGCGUUGUCCGGAUUUACUGGGCGUAAAGCGCGCGCAGGCGGGUUGGUCAGUCUGGGGUGAAAUCUCACGGCUCAACUGUGAGAGGUCCCUGGAUACUGCCAGCCUUGAGGGGCUCAGAGGAGUGUGGAAUUCCGGGUGUAGUGGUGGAAUGCGUAGAUAUCCGGAGGAACACCAGUGGCGAAAGCGGCACUCUGGGGGCAACCUGACGCUGAGGCGCGAAAGCGUGGGGAGCGAACCGG